CAGAUUUCCUGGUGAACCUGCCUCUGUCUGAGAGGGUGUCUCACCGAACGGUAGCUAAAACCUCACCAGAACCGCGCGGAAGUGAGAAGUCGCGGCCAAAGGCGCCCGCAGAAGCCUCCUCUCUGGGCCGGACCCCAGCCCGAGCGGCCGAAAGGAGCCCCCCGCCCGGAUCACAGAAGUUUACAAGGAAAGGGGAAAUGUCUGAAAUGGAGAUUGCACAAUCCUGUCUUGAAGCAGAAGACUCAGCUAGAGCACAUCUGGAAACACCUGGCACUCCUCAAUAGAAUUCAAAUGCUAUUUUAAAAGAUGUAAAAUCUGAGCUGCAACACUGAACAAAAGCUGUACUUGCCAGCCAGCAAAGAUGCUACCACUCUGCACAACAGAUAAAACCCAUACAUAUAGGGAAGUCAAAAGAGUCUUUAAGCUACAGUGUUUGAGAGGCUGUUUGUCUCUGAUGGAAAAUUAAGAAAAUGAGUCCAUUUCUAAGAAGAUGUGGUUCGAACAUACAGAGCUACAUAAUAUGAGUAAAAUAGGACCUAACAGUAGUGUUCUCCAGCAUUGCUCUGCCUUUCCUUUUCUGGAUGUAACAACAUUACUAAGAAAGGAAGAAAAAGCAAAAAUCUGCUCUCGGGGAGAUUCCAGAAUGUUGGAAAGCCCCAAAUGGAAGUCUCUGCUUUGGUUACAGGACAUAAGGUUUAAUAAAUAAAAAGAUGCUCAUCUGGGAUGCUGCACCAAUUAUCAUGUACUAAAUAAGGUUACCUACUUCACUCUCCAGGUAGAAAUGUCUAUCAUAAGCAUGUGCCACAGAAGGUCUCUCAAGUAUCAUUAUUGGCUGUGUUGAAUUUUGUUUUUAGUUCUCUUUUAUAAGGUCUGUAGUCUUACUUUCAGUGAGGAAGUGUUUUCUCAGGUUCUCAAGAAAGUAACAAAAUGCCAGCAUUGUCAAGGUCACCAUUGCCACUGAAUUAUCUUACUGUCUGAUUAUUCCAUCUUCCUCUGCAUCAUAUUAGCCUGAUGACUACAUUCUAAUUAUUUAAAGCGUUAUGUAAAUCAAAGCAGUAAAUGUAAUUUCUAGUCUUACUAGAUAUCAUGUACAUUAGGUCGAAUAACUCUAGAAAUGUCGUCAUAAUCAUGUCAUGCCUAAUGAUGACCUACUCAGCCCCUGCCAACAUCAUUCAAUUACUCAUUUCAGUAUUGAUUUUUCUCAUGCCUCUCUUCGUGGCAUUUAAACAGCCCUCACAUCUCCCCUUUUACUGAGGUGUAAUGUUGUAUAAUGACAGAGAUGCUUUGCUUCCCAGAUUCAUAAUGUUACACUCUGUUUCAAAUCCUUUUGGAGACAAAUUGGGGAAUCAAUAUAUAAAUAAUGACACACUUAUUUUUAAUUAAAAUCACUGCUUUCACAGAAAUGGUAUAUUAAAAUUAUUUUUGCUAAAAAAAUUUUAAAUACCUAUGUACGAUAAAAAGACUGCCAAUCCUUGGGAUCAAGAAUAUAAUUUGCCCCAAAUAACUUUUCUGUAAAAGUAGAAUUCUUAAUGGAAAAUAGAUUAAUACAUAUAAUUUCAAGAUCUAACCUUAAAAAUGGAAAUAAUGUGUCCAUUUUUAAAAAUAAAUCAUAUUUACA
ensembl:lncRNA ZFHX4-AS1 ZFHX4 antisense RNA 1